AGUUAUCAUCAAAGAAUAAUGACAUAGCUGCCUUAAAGAACUGCAUCUCAGAAUUAGAAAUUGAAAAGAAAGAACUACAGUCAAAACUGAAAGCGUUUUCUGAACUCAGAACUCAAAAUGAAGAACUACUGGCCAAGCUGGAAGUCUAUGAAGAGCAGCAGCGAAAAUUGCAGGCUGAUCUCGAACAAGUUACAAAGAGGGCAGCUUCACAGGCCAGUGAAUCGGGCAGUGUGGAUGAAUUUCAGAGUCAGCUUUUGGAGUGGCAGGAUAUUGUACCAGAAUCAGAGGAGGUGCAUGACCAAGUCAGAGAGGAGAAAUCUGCCAUAGCCCUGAGAAUGGCACAGAUUGAAGAAGAGAGAGAAGGUGAAUUGAAGUAUUUAAGAUGAAACUAGAUUAUUAUGCCAGCAUAGCAGGUAUUACAAAUCUGCUGUGUUUCUGCAGUUCAGACAAAAUUGAUAUCUUUCCUCCAUGCCUCACUUCUGUAGUCAAGUGAGAUUUAUGCA
rnacentral:lncRNA from 1 species